GCAGUAGCUCAGUAGGUAGAGCGCAACAUUGGUAGUGUUGAGGUCACGGGUUCGAUUCCCGUCUGU
rnacentral:tRNA from 1 species